GGUGCUGUAGCUCAGCUGGUAGAGCGGGGAUCUCAAGAGUCCUGAGGCCGUGGGUUCGAGUCCCGCCGGCGCUA
rnacentral:tRNA from 1 species